rnacentral:lncRNA from 1 species
AUGGCUUUGAGCCUAACAAAGGGUUUAGACUCCUCCGCCUGCCAGAACAGUGAUUCCACCUCUCUUGGAACAGUCAUAUCUGCUGAGAAGUUUAAGGAAGGAACCUUGAGAAAGCAUCAGAGGUGGCUUUGGAGGUGGAAUCUAAAGAAACUAGAGGAGAGAAGAAAGGAAGAAUGGAUUACAAAAGAUGAGCAAGAUGCCUGGAAUUUCACACGUACAUCAUCUCUUUGGGUCACAGAGAAAGCCAUGCUUGAUUAACACUGAGGAUUCGCGUGUGACCUAUGGCUGGUGUCCAAUGACUUCUCCCAUUUUCAGAACACUUCUGUAAUGUUGCCGUCAGUGGUGAAUAUAUGACAUCCAAGGAAAGGUGAGGCCCUGACACUAAGAGGAAUACAAUGACCAGUCCAAGAGGACAACCCAGAACUGGACUUCUGGGGCCUGACUGAACUGGAUUGAGGUAUCGGACACGCUUUUACAGAGGCUAUUUAGGAGGUAGAUUUUAUGAGCCUCAUUUUGCCAAUGAUAACACUAGGGCACAGAGAGGUUCAGCAACCCGCCCAAGGCCACACAGCCAGGAAGGAGCAGGAUCUGACCCCAGGCUGCCUGACUCCGGAGCCCAUGCUUGCAAACAUUCCACUGAACCACAGGCUGCCUGACUCCGGAGCCCAUGCUUGCAAACAUUCGUAAUCCCUGCUGAAUGAUUUCAGCUCUCCUGCUGUCUUCCCCCACCUCACUGUCUCGCGAUGGACGUUCACAUUUCCCGGCUGGCCCAGAAGCUGCGAUAGGGUGUUAUGAGCUGUUAGCUUAAGAGGGGUGAAGCCCUGUGAAAAGAAAACACACUUGCUCCCCUUCCUCAGCUGCGCUGGUCUUUCCUCCAGCUGAUCUUUCUCCUGUUAUAUAAAUGGAAUGUGAUACAAAUGUUUCCACCAUGAGUUUCCUUUCAAAAGAUGAA